ensembl:lncRNA
AUGCUGACGUUCCCAACAUCAGGCAGAAGCUGGAUGAUAAUGACGGCGAACGCUUUCCCACGUUCCCUGUCCAGCGCCGCGAUGCCAAACUCUAUUGUGUUCCACACUCUCCAGCCCACCUGCUCCUUUGGGAGCGGUGUAUUAUCCCGGGGCAAUUCACAGUCAAUUUGCCAUGCUGUAAUGGAUGCUUUCCCAUUGUUCUUGGCACUCAUGGAUUGGCUGGCGACUGUGGGAAACUCCGAGUCGCUCCGGACCCAGACUUUUGUAAUGAGGCUCCUGCCUAUAAAUAGGGCAGAUCCUGGCUCUCUUCUCCACUCUGAGCUGAGAUCAGCCCUUGGCAUAACGGUGCUCUCUCCAUGGACAUCCCAUCGCCCGGAGGGAAGCACAGACUCUGGAUUGGAUUUACAGCAGCUGGAACUGCUCCUGGAGAAGGCAUUCCAGAGGCACCAGCCCAACUCUUAGCUGGGGAAAGGCGAAAUCCUGGGGGGAAUGGCUGUGAGCGACCUAGGAUACGGGCGAGGUGGGUGCUCCCCAUCACAUCCCGCAUCCCUCUCACUGCCUUUUCCUUUGGGAAAAACUUUAGCUGGCGCCUCCCCGUGUAACACUUUUCUCCUCUCCUGCCCUUUCAGCCUUUGCAGUUCCUGCCCAGAGCCCGCAGCAGGAUGAUCCUGACGGGUAGUGUCCCAGAGCGGCUCUGUAAUUCCCGUCCCUCCGUUCCAUGGGCGCCGGAACGAGGGGAACCUGAGCUGCCCCUCCCGGAAGUCACAGGUGGCACCUGGGGACUCUGUUUCUUCCUCCGCACCCACCUCCAGCCACCAGCCUCCUGCAAAACCUGCAGCACCGACGCGAUUCCACAGCCCUCGGAGACAUUGGCCGUUCACAAUUCCGUGAUUUUUGGACGUUUCCCGUAUUCCAGAGGAGACCAUGACUUGUUGUACAAGUCGCCCCCAUUCCUCUCAUGUUAGGGAAAAAUGUUUCCCCUUUGCAGGUCAUUGCUCUUGCUUGGAUGUCAGCUCCCCUUCUCCCAGAAGACUGCAACGAUCCCACCGCGUGGAGAGGAAGUUAUUCUGAGGGAUUGUGAGCUGUAUCCUCCUGCUGGGAGGGCUGGAGGGGUCGUUCAGAGCGGAACGACGGCUGUUCUUAACCUCUGCGAGGUUGUCCAUGUACCUCUGUUGGGAAAGCUGUAACCCCUGGGGCGCUUAGAAUUCCCAGAAGUGUCCCUGCGGUAGGAGCCUUUUCCUCUGACUCCUCGGGGUCCCAGGGCAUCCACACCUGGAAUGUCCCCGGGUCUCACUGGACACAUUUGGGAAUCUGGCCUUCCCGUGGUUCUAUAUGAGGGGUUCUAUAAUAUUUAUAGUCUGUACUGAGCACCCUCUGAGAAUGGUUAAACCAUAUCCCAAACUAUGUAGAGGAAAUUCCUCGGGAUGUCUUGCUCACAAGCCAAGGCUGUUGUGAGGUUCAGGAUGCAUGUGUGCCUUUUGUAAAGGCUGGAGCUAGUUUUUAUGUCCUUAUAGGACUGAAAGUUACGGCUGUGCUGUCGAUUAUAAAAGCAAUAUUUAUCAAAGUCUUUCAUGAAAGGCGGGUGUUUUAAAUUAUAUUUACUUUUUGGUACCCUUUUGCCAAGGGAAAAUGGGAAUUUGUUAUUGUCCUUGGAGGAUGUUACGAUGCGUUCUGUGCAAGCUGCACCAAUGUACGACCUGUGCCUGAGUUAUCUUGAAUGUCAGAAGUUGCAGAAACUUUUAACCAUCAAAAAUAAAUAAAAAUCUGGUCAAUCA